UUAAGCGACUAAGCGUACACGGUGGAUGCCCUGGCAGUCAGAGGCGAUGAAGGACGUGCUAAUCUGCGAAAAGCGUCGGUAAGGUGAUAUGAACCGUUAUAACCGGCGAUGUCCGAAUGGGGAAACCCAGUGCAAUUCGUUGCACUAUCGUUAACUGAAUACAUAGGUUAACGAGGCGAACCGGGGGAACUGAAACAUCUAAGUACCCCGAGGAAAAGAAAUCAACCGAGAUUCCCCCAGUAGCGGCGAGCGAACGGGGAGCAGCCCAGAGUCUGAAUCAGCUUGUGUGUUAGUGGAACGGUCUGGAAAGUCCGACGGUACAGGGUGAUAGUCCCGUACACCAAAAUGCACAGGCUGUGAACUCGAAGAGUAGGGCGGGACACGUGGUAUCCUGUCUGAAUAUGGGGGGACCAUCCUCCAAGGCUAAAUACUCCUGACUGACCGAUAGUGAACCAGUACCGUGAGGGAAAGGCGAAAAGAACCCCGGCGAGGGGAGUGAAAAAGAACCUGAAACCGUGUACGUACAAGCAGUGGGAGCACCUUUAUGGUGUGACUGCGUACCUUUUGUAUAAUGGGUCAGCGACUUAUAUUCUGUAGCAAGGUUAACCGUAUAGGGGAGCCGCAGGGAAACCGAGUCUUAACUGGGCGUUAAGUUGCAGGGUAUAGACCCGAAACCCGGUGAUCUAGCCAUGGGCAGGUUGAAGGUUGGGUAACACUAACUGGAGGACCGAACCGACUAAUGUUGAAAAAUUAGCGGAUGACUUGUGGCUGGGGGUGAAAGGCCAAUCAAACCGGGAGAUAGCUGGUUCUCCCCGAAAGCUAUUUAGGUAGCGCCUCGUGAACUCAUCUUCGGGGGUAGAGCACUGUUUCGGCUAGGGGGUCAUCCCGACUUACCAACCCGAUGCAAACUACGAAUACCGAAGAAUGUUAUCACGGGAGACACACGGCGGGUGCUAACGUCCGUCGUGAAGAGGGAAACAACCCAGACCGCCAGCUAAGGUCCCAAAGUCAUGGUUAAGUGGGAAACGAUGUGGGAAGGCACAGACAGCCAGGAUGUUGGCUUAGAAGCAGCCAUCAUUUAAAGAAAGCGUAAUAGCUCACUGGUCGAGUCGGCCUGCGCGGAAGAUGUAACGGGGCUAAACCAUGCACCGAAGCUGCGGCAGCGACACUAUGUGUUGUUGGGUAGGGGAGCGUUCUGUAAGCCUGCGAAGGUGUGCUGUGAGGCAUGCUGGAGGUAUCAGAAGUGCGAAUGCUGACAUAAGUAACGAUAAAGCGGGUGAAAAGCCCGCUCGCCGGAAGACCAAGGGUUCCUGUCCAACGUUAAUCGGGGCAGGGUGAGUCGACCCCUAAGGCGAGGCCGAAAGGCGUAGUCGAUGGGAAACAGGUUAAUAUUCCUGUACUUGGUGUUACUGCGAAGGGGGGACGGAGAAGGCUAUGUUAGCCGGGCGACGGUUGUCCCGGUUUAAGCAUGUAGGCUGGUUAUCCAGGCAAAUCCGGAUAAUCAAGGCUGAGGUGUGAUGACGAGGCACUACGGUGCUGAAGUAACAAAUGCCCUGCUUCCAGGAAAAGCCUCUAAGCAUCAGGUAACAUUAAAUCGUACCCCAAACCGACACAGGUGGUCAGGUAGAGAAUACCAAGGCGCUUGAGAGAACUCGGGUGAAGGAACUAGGCAAAAUGGUGCCGUAACUUCGGGAGAAGGCACGCUGGUGUGUAGGUGAAGUCCCUGCGGAUGGAGCUGAGACCAGUCGAAGAUACCAGCUGGCUGCAACUGUUUAUUAAAAACACAGCACUGUGCAAACACGAAAGUGGACGUAUACGGUGUGACGCCUGCCCGGUGCCGGAAGGUUAAUUGAUGGGGUUAUCCGUAAGGAGAAGCUCUUGAUCGAAGCCCCGGUAAACGGCGGCCGUAACUAUAACGGUCCUAAGGUAGCGAAAUUCCUUGUCGGGUAAGUUCCGACCUGCACGAAUGGCGUAAUGAUGGCCAGGCUGUCUCCACCCGAGACUCAGUGAAAUUGAACUCGCUGUGAAGAUGCAGUGUACCCGCGGCAAGACGGAAAGACCCCGUGAACCUUUACUAUAGCUUGACACUGAACAUUGAGCCUUGAUGUGUAGGAUAGGUGGGAGGCUUUGAAGCGUGGACGCCAGUCUGCGUGGAGCCAACCUUGAAAUACCACCCUUUAAUGUUUGAUGUUCUAACGUUGGCCCCUUACCGGGGUUGCGGACAGUGUCUGGUGGGUAGUUUGACUGGGGCGGUCUCCUCCCAAAGCGUAACGGAGGAGCACGAAGGUUAGCUAAUCCUGGUCGGACAUCAGGAGGUUAGUGCAAUGGCAUAAGCUAGCUUGACUGCGAGCGUGACGGCGCGAGCAGGUGCGAAAGCAGGUCAUAGUGAUCCGGUGGUUCUGAAUGGAAGGGCCAUCGCUCAACGGAUAAAAGGUACUCCGGGGAUAACAGGCUGAUACCGCCCAAGAGUUCAUAUCGACGGCGGUGUUUGGCACCUCGAUGUCGGCUCAUCACAUCCUGGGGCUGAAGUAGGUCCCAAGGGUAUGGCUGUUCGCCAUUUAAAGUGGUACGCGAGCUGGGUUUAGAACGUCGUGAGACAGUUCGGUCCCUAUCUGCCGUGGGCGCUGGAGAAUUGAGGGGGGCUGCUCCUAGUACGAGAGGACCGGAGUGGACGCAUCACUGGUGUUCGGGUUGUCAUGCCAAUGGCACUGCCCGGUAGCUAAAUGCGGAAGAGAUAAGUGCUGAAAGCAUCUAAGCACGAAACUUGCCCCGAGAUGAGUUCUCCCUGAGACUUUAAGUCUCCUGAAGGAACGUUGAAGACGAUGACGUUGAUAGGCCGGGUGUGUAAGCGCAGCGAUGCGUUGAGCUAACCGGUACUAAUGAACCGUGAGGCUUAACCU
rnacentral:rRNA from 1 species